UGAAGCUUGCUUCUAAAUAACCUAGCGGCGGACGGGUGAGUAACACGUAGGCAACCUGCCCACAAGACAGGGAUAACUACCGGAAACGGUAGCUAAUACCCGAUACAUCCUUUUCCUGCAUGGGAGAAGGAGGAAAGGCGGAGCAAUCUGUCACUUGUGGAUGGGCCUGCGGCGCAUUAGCUAGUUGGUGGGGUAAUGGCCUACCAAGGCGACGAUGCGUAGCCGACCUGAGAGGGUGAUCGGCCACACUGGGACUGAGACACGGCCCAGACUCCUACGGGAGGCAGCAGUAGGGAAUCUUCCGCAAUGGGCGAAAGCCUGACGGACCACGCCGCGUGAGUGAUGAAGGUUUUCGGAUCGUAAAGCUCUGUUGCCAGGGAAGAACGUCUUGUAAAGUAACUGCUAUAAGAGUGACGUACCUGAGAAGAAAGCCCCGGCUAACUACGUGCCAGCAGCCGCGGUAUACGUAGGGGGGCAGCGUGUCCGAAUUAUUGGGCGAAACGCGCGC
rnacentral:rRNA from 1 species